GUGAAUCAUCAAAUCUUUGAACGCAAAUUGCGCCUUUUUCGGAAGGCAUGUCUGUUUGAGGGCCCCAUUUAACAAAUAAUGUGCAUUUCGUGUGCACACGUUGAUGAGCUUUCCAAAAUUAUGUAUUAUUAUUUUUGUUGGCGCAUAAUAAACAGCGCGAUGCUUUUUUUUAGUCGGAGGGAAGUAAAAUUUUUUCUUGCUUGGUUGGUGAAAAGGGUGAUCG
rnacentral:misc_RNA from 1 species